CUUCACUAAGGUCAAUAUCCAAAUCCGUUCUAACAGGAUGACCAGGAGCUCCGUCCUUUUCUUCAAAUUGAGCCUUUGCAUGCACCUUGUGUGAAUAAUUUAGAGGAGCCAUACUUAAAGAAGGUGUAUCAUUAAAAGACGUGCACUUCUGGAAAUUCAUGCUUCAGUGCAACCUGAAGCAGCAUAACAAGCAUCCUCUUAAACUCCUCAUCUAAAGUUAGCACAAACACUAUAGAGAGAUCAAAGACAGCAAGACACAUUAGAAAAGCCAGACAGCUUUCAAUAUCAUUCCAAGUAAAAAAUGAUUUCAACUCCAAUGAUAAAUAGCAAAACCUUCGUCCCACUUAUGUGUGCUCUUUCAAAAACAAUGCAAACUGGAAGGAUCUUGAGCUGUCUUGACAAUACAUUCAAAUGUUAUAUGAUGAAUAUGUUCUUCAAAGUUACACGGAUUUUGAACAUAUCGAGAGCAUGUUUAUACAUAACAUUUUAAAUAUUUUUUCUAUUCUCAAUAGAAGUUUACACAAUACUAAUCAAAGAAAGAGAAUAGUUGUAUUAAGUAUAGGAACAAAGCUAUAUAGUUACUAUUGUGAAUCUUGUAUGCACACUAUGUAUAUAUUCACAAAGGAAGACGAAGUUUGUCUAUAUAGGCUGUAAACCGACUUAGGCUGUGUAAAACCAUGUUAACUGUGAUAUGAUUAUUUAGUAUUUACAAUAACAGCCGUCUCUCUCUCCCCUCCCCCACCCCCCUGUGUGUAUAUAAAUAAACAUAUACAUAUGUAUAUGUAUAUAUAUAUAUAUGUAUGUUAUACAUAUGUAUAUGUGUGUGUGUGUAUAUUUAUACUUGCGUAUUAAUUUUUUCAAAUGCAAAAGACUUUAUCAUAGAGGGGUUUUUUAUUUUUAAAGAAAACUGGAUAGAGAGAAAAAAACACAAAUUCUGUGAAUGCAUAAAAAAAGAAUAGAAAGGAGAAAAUCUGGGAUUGCAUAAGAAAUGCCAAGAAAAACUUAUGAGAAAACAAAUCCAUAGUCUAUAAAGUCCAAAUUCUUUUAUCAGAAGAUUAAGUGAACGUAACACUUAUGCUACUGAUACACAAGUACUAACUAGGUUCAUAUGUAACGAUCGCUACCAUUUCAGAGCAACAAUGAGUUGUGUCAACAAUUGGCUAGCGUGAUCUUUAAUAGAUGUUGUAUUGUAGCGGUGAGAAAAACUAGGAAUGCUUUAAAGAUCAUUGGACAGGGAAAGUUCCUAAAUUCGGGUACUGACCAACUCAUUCUAUAACAAACUUUGAGAACAUGGUGGUGUUUAGGAGUUCAAAUAUAAUUGUAAAUGUUUAACAGCUGAUUCCACUAGAGAGGUGAUCGUUAACACGAUAUCCUAGCAGGAACUAGGAAGUUUUUGUGUCAGCUUACUUACCAUGAUAAUAAAAAACUAUUUAAAAUGUCGGCAACACUCAUGAGAAGCAGAAAAACGAUGCAUUAAGUAUGUUGUUACAUCUCUCUAUAAUAGCUCAAUCUCUUAGAAUAGCUGGUUAUUAACAUUGUAAAUUAGUUUGGUUGAAGAUUCAUCUUUCUUGUUAGUAAAGCUGAACUCGUCUAUACAACUCAAGGUUCAGUAAAGUAAAUAUGAAGUUUCUAGUUCACAGAAUCUAUGCUAAGAUAACCUUAAAAACUAAUAUACUGGAAACUGGUAUCCCUUCAAGCUUGCUUGAUCAUCUGCAAGUAUGAUCGAUGGCAGGCAGCAAAGCAAUCAUGGUCUAGUAACCAACAUUAUUUUCUUCCUUUUCAAUAACUAAUUGUAUGUAUAUCAGUUGAUAAUCCUCCACAAGAGAUCAACUAACAAUAACAUUGAUGACAGACUAAGUUGCAUUAAAUGUUGAGGAAAAGGCUACUCGGCCAAUUUAAUAGCUUAUUAUACAUUUUGGGGGGGAUGAGAUAUAAGGAAAUAAUUUCAAGGAUUCACCAACGCUAAUGAAUUGCUGUUAUUGGAAAUGCUUCAUCAAUAGAUAACAAGUUGGUUCUUCAAAUAUACGAGGGACGAGCAAAGAAGACAUGCUACAUAUGUUUGACGUAAAAUAUUUUCCAAACCUCAUGAUUUAUGCACAUACGCAGGUAGCUUUCCUUUUUCUCCCUAAGGGUAACUUAUACAAACAGUCAUAAUUCCAUGCAUCUCUACACGUCCACAUAUAACUUAAAUAUAUAUACACACACAUGUAUAUAACAUGAAUACACAAAAUGAACAUACUAGCAAGGGAAGCCCUACACUAGGGGCGGUGGGGGGGCAAGGGACUUUAGUGAAAUUUCUUCUAUAAAUAGGGAUACCUACUUGCAUGUUUAAAACAUGUAGUUCAUAAUAAUUAAUACUUCGUUCACUUCAUAUAAAAGAUUUUCAUCUUGAUUUCUUAAAGUUGAUUUUUGAAAUUUUAGAUUUAUAAAUUAAUGUGAAAUUAAUAUAAAUUUAGAUAAGACAAUCAUAAAUACCAUUUCCUCCGAUCCACAAAAGAAUCCUAUUUGCAAACCUUAUGAAUUUCAAGGAUAUGUUUUUGUUUUAUGUUUAAUCAAAGUUUUUAGUUUGAUAAUGAUGGUAUGAUAAUGUAAUUGUAAUGAUAAACUUAAAAACAUUGCGUCAAUUUUGCUACCAUUAAAAAUGUAAAUUCCUUGUUCUAACAUAUCAAGUUAAAUAAUAUCUUUAUAUUUCAAUUGUAAUAUGUCUCAAAUAACUUCACUGGAUAUUAACAAUUCAUUGCUUAUAUAGUUAUAUUGUUAUUAUUUUUCAAAAGAAAAAUAUCAAAAGAUCAACACUCUAUGGAUUAUAAAUAUUAUACGCAAAAGUUUAUCACGUGUUUAUUUAAUUAUAUUUUCUCUAUGCAUAGGGUUAAUGACUUCGUUUAAAAUAUUUCUUUUUUUUUGUGCAAAAACUCUCCUCCAUAGUUGAAAAUUUCUGGGUCCGACACUGUUGUAGCAUCAUUGUGCUUGCUUCCGAAUUUCACGUAAAUGUCUCUUCACUGAUCAUACAAGUUUACACUAAAUCAGCAGAUAAUAUUUUUAGUAUAGUGUAUUAGAAUGUUUUCAGGUGUGAAGCAUGUUCCCCAAAAUAAAAAACAAGACUUCCACGACAUUUUAAGACUUGUAAAUCAUUUUGUAUUAUACUUUGCCUUCUUGACAAAACCCUGAUACCAUACAUACAUAUAUAUAUAUAUCAUAAAUGUAUUAAUAAACCAAGGUAAAAGUUAAUGCAGCAAUUGAGACACUGUACUAUAAACUAUAUUACUUAACAACUCAAUUCAUCCAUCAAUACUUCUAAAUAAAUAACAAACGAUAACAUUAAAAAAAUGUAUAAUCUGUUCAACUAGGCUAAACUAACUUUUGGUAAUCGAGUCGUACCCAAAAAAAUCAAUGUUUAUGAAGAAAAAAAAUCUAAAAUUGUUCAUAACUAAUAAAUCCAGUAUAAGUUAUUUAGUAGUAUAAGAUUUGAAGGCUUAUUCAACUACAGAUAAUCUAUUGUUCCUACUAAACAGAUUGCCACACUUACCAAAAUUAAAAAUAAAAACAAAUCCAAUAAUCCACAUUCGAUCAAUUUAGCAUAACAGAUUCUGUAUCUUCUGCUCCAAUUUCUCGGCAGUAAAAAUGAAAUUCAAGCUGCUAAGUUAAUGAGUUUUAUAUGCAAAGAUCCAAAAUAUAUACCUUUUCUCUAACAGAAAAUCGGCAGGGAUAUGAUGAGCAGUUGUAUGGAUAUUGGGAAAUUCCGGAACAACGAGCUUGGAGUCCGUUUGGCUACUGAGGAAAAUAGGUUGAGUUGGUUUGUAAAUUAGAAUUGUGGCUUUUUCUCGGGGAGAGCGGAAAGAUUAAAAAUAAAUAAAUUUAAAGACAGAUUCCUGGAUGAAAAUUUGACAUUAAAUUGUAGUUAUUACAGUUUCCAUAAAAAGGUGAAUAUGGAGUAUCGGGGUUUUGUAGUAAUAUAGAGUAUUUGCUCUUCAUCCAAAAAAAAAAAAAAAGAAGCAAUUUAUUAG
rnacentral:lncRNA from 1 species